rnacentral:lncRNA from 1 species
GAAGAGCACAGCAGGGAAUUUCCCUCUCGCUUCUUGUCUGAGCAAUUCAUCAAAACCACCUCAAAAUUUUCCAUCAAUGGAGCUGAUUCGUUGAAAAGCCCGGCUACAAACCGGAGGCCUGGUCAGAUCCAUUCUCGGGGAUAGCAUGGAAAGGAGCUCGUUUUCCCCUGUUUUGGUGAAUCGGCGGAGUGGGGCUCGUCAGCCGCAGUUUGCAUGCGUUCUGGGCCUACUCAUGCCUUUCUCUAUGUAUUCCUAGUGUUGUUUUCUGGUUAUGGUAAGUUCUGGUUUGAAUUUGCGCCUCAAAUGUUUUCUGGUUAUUGUACCUUAGGUGUUCGAUGAAAUGUCUGGGUGAGGUUUGCGCCCCUAUCUUGGUUUUCCGUCCAAUCUGGGCAUUCAUCAAUUGCUGGACGUGCUUCGUGGAUUUUUAAUUUGAUUAGACCAAGCAAUCUUGAUUGAAGAGCACUCUUCUCACAGAUUUGAACCAUGUUGUUACUCGCCAUCUCUCUCCAACCCAUCACAGAUCUGGAUCAUGUUGUUCAUCGAUUCUUGGCGUCAUUUGCCGAGGUUGUGGCACAGCUCGUGGGCAUGGGUGGUGAUGGGUGAGCGUCGGUGAAGUUGUAGCCGAGGAAUCCAUGUACAGUGUGAAGUGGCGAGGGCGUAGAAAGGAG